GAUCUCGCGGUGUAGUGGUUAUCAAAUCUCCCUUACACACAGAAGGUCGGCGGUUCGAUUUCGCCCGAGAUCA
rnacentral:tRNA from 1 species